CCCUGACAGGUGCAUUCCGUACCUGACACUAGCCACGACAGGAGAUUCUCAUG
ncrna:unclassified sequences Mu-gpT-DE RNA